AGUGAACGCUGGCGGUAGGCCUAACACAUGCAAGUCGAACGGCAGCACAGUAAGAGCUUGCUCUUACGGGUGGCGAGUGGCGGACGGGUGAGGAAUACAUCGGAAUCUACUUUUUCGUGGGGGAUAACGUAGGGAAACUUACGCUAAUACCGCAUACGACCUACGGGUGAAAGCAGGGGAUCUUCGGACCUUGCGCGAUUGAAUGAGCCGAUGUCGGAUUAGCUAGUUGGCGGGGUAAAGGCCCACCAAGGCGACGAUCCGUAGCUGGUCUGAGAGGAUGAUCAGCCACACUGGAACUGAGACACGGUCCAGACUCCUACGGGAGGCAGAAGUGGGGAAUAUUGGACAAUGGGCGCAAGCCUGAUCCAGCCAUACCGCGUGGGUGAAGAAGGCCUUCGGGUUGUAAAGCCCUUUUGUUGGGAAAGAAAAGCAGCAGGUUAAUACCCCGCUGUUCUGACGGUACCCAAAGAAUGAGCACCGGCUAACUUCGUG
rnacentral:rRNA from 1 species